rnacentral:rRNA from 1 species
CCCCGGAGCUCAACCUUGGAACUGCAUUUGAAACUGGCUAGCUUGAGUACUGUAGAGGUAAGUAGAAUUUCUGGUGUAGCGGUGAAAUGCGUAGAUAUCUGAAGGAACACCUGUGGCGAAGGCGGCUUCCUGGUCUGAUACUGACGCUCAUGUACGAAAGCGUGGGGAGCAAACAGGAUUAGAUACCCUGGUAGUCCACGCCGUAAACGAUGUCUACUAGAUGGUGGAUGUUCUUGCGCUUUGGUUUCCUCACCUAACCUGUUAACUUUACCCCCGG